ensembl:lncRNA
UUUUCUUACAAAUACGCAUCGAUUCGCUACAGGAGGCCUUUGUUCACACUUGGCAACACACCUCAUGCGAAUAAAUUUUCUUGUCCAUUUCAAUGCUGUCUAAGCGCUCUGAAGAGCUGGAGUCUUGAUGUGGAGAGAGUCGGAUGGCAGGACCGAAGCCAGUGUGGUUUCUGCGGCAGACCUACUCUGACAGGCUUUUCAAAGUUUUUAAUAAUUCUUGUGCCGUCCAUGAUGGUGAAAUUGUGGCGGGCCUUCUCUCCUCAACUGUUGCCUGCCAUGACUGUGAGGUUCAUUCCAUCCUGAUUAUAAUUGCUUUCAUCUUGUAUCGUGACUGUUUUCAAUUCUUCAGGGCCCUGUCAACUCAGCAAGGUUCACAGAGGUUGCUGUGGUUUAGCUGACAAAAGGACUGAAGAGGAACAGGAAGACAGUUUUUGCCUUGCAGUACCUUGGAAAGAAUCAGUCUGAAGAAACAUAUGUUAGGUGAUGAAAUGGGAGUCUCUCCAGUUUGAGAAGGUGACCUUUUAAAGUGC